rnacentral:snRNA from 1 species
GUCACUUUGGCAGCACCUCUACUCACACUGGAAUGACACAGAGAUUAGCAUGGCCCCUGCACAAGGAGAACACACAAACUCGUGAAGCAUUCCUAAUUUUU